rnacentral:rRNA from 1 species
GCUUCGGCCUUAGUGGCGCACGGGUGCGUAACGCGUGGGAAUCUGCCCUUAGGUUCGGAAUAACAGCUGGAAACGGCUGCUAAUACCGGAUGAUAUCGCGAGAUCAAAGAUUUAUCGCCUGAGGAUGAGCCCGCGUUGGAUUAGGUAGUUGGUGGGGUAAAGGCCUACCAAGCCGACGAUCCAUAGCUGGUCUGAGAGGAUGAUCAGCCACACUGGGACUGAGACACGGCCCAGACUCCUACGGGAGGCAGCAGUGGGGAAUAUUGGACAAUGGGCGCAAGCCUGAUCCAGCAAUGCCGCGUGAGUGAUGAAGGCCCUAGGGUUGUAAAGCUCUUUUACCCGGGAAGAUAAUGACUGUACCGGGAGAAUAAGCCCCGGCUAACUCCGUGCCAGCAGCCGCGGUAAUACGGAGGGGGCUAGCGUUGUUCGGAAUUACUGGGCGUAAAGCGCACGUAGGCGGCUUUGUAAGUCAGAGGUGAAAGCCUGGAGCUCAACUCCAGAACUGCCUUUGAGACUGCAUCGCUUGAAUCCAGGAGAGGUCAGUGGAAUUCCGAGUGUAGAGGUGAAAUUCGUAGAUAUUCGGAAGAACUCCAGUGGGAAGGCGGCUGAC